GCCUGGCUGGCUCAGUUGGUAGAGCAUGCGACUCUUGAUCUUGGGGUUGUGAGUUUGAGUCCCACACUGGGUU
rnacentral:tRNA from 1 species